rnacentral:rRNA from 1 species
UACGUAGGGGGCAAGCGUUGUCCGGAAUUAUUGGGCGUAAAGGGCGCGUAGGCGGCGACCCAAGUCAGAUGUGAAAGUCCUGGGCUUAACCUGGGGACUGCAUUUGAUACUGGGUUGCUUGAAUUCGGGAGAGGAUAGCGGAAUUCCCAGUGUAGAGGUGAAAUUCGUAGAUAUUGGGAAGAACACCGGUGGCGAAGGCGGCUAUCUGGACCGACAUUGACGCUGAGGCGCGAAAGCGUGGGGAGCAAACAGG